GAUGAACGCUGGCGGCGUGCCUAAUACAUGCAAGUCGAGCGAACGGACGAGAAUCUUGCUUCUCUGAUGUUAGCGGCGGACGGGUGAGUAACACGUGGAUAACCUACCUAUAAGACUGGGAUAACUUCGGGAAACCGGAGCUAAUACCGGAUAAUAUUUUGAACCGCAUGGUUCAAAAGUGAAAGACGGUCUUGCUGUCACUUAUAGAUGGAUCCGCGCUGCAUUAGCUAGUUGGUAAGGUAACGGCUUACCAAGGCAACGAUGCAUAGCCGACCUGAGAGGGUGAUGGGCCACACUGGAACUGAGACACGGUCCAGACUCCUACGGGAGGCAGCAGUAGGGAAUCUUCCGCAAUGGGCGAAAGCCUGACGGAGCAACGCCGCGUGAGUGAUGAAGGUCUUCGGAUCGUAAAACUCUGUUAUUAGGGAAGAACAUAUGUGUAAGUAACUGUGCACAUCUUGAAGGUACCUAAACAGAAAGCCACGGCUAACUACGUG
rnacentral:rRNA from 1 species